GACGAACGCUGGCGGCGUGCUUAACACAUGCAAGUCGAGCGGUAAGGCCCUUUCGGGGGUACACGAGCGGCGAACGGGUGAGUAACACGUGGGUGACCUGCCCUCAGCUCUGGGAUAAGCCCGGGAAACUGGGUCUAAUACUGGAUAUGACUCCAUGACGCAUGUUGUGGGGUGGAAAGCCUUGUGCGGCUGAGGAUGGGCCCGCGGCCUAUCAGCUUGUUGGUGGGGNGAUGGCCUACCAAGGCGACGACGGGUAGCCGGCCUGAGAGGGCGACCGGCCACACUGGGACUGAGACACGGCCCAGACUCCUACGGGAGGCAGCAGUGGGGAAUCUUGCGCAAUGGCGAAAGCCUGACGCAGCGACGCCGCGUGAGGGAUGACGGCCU
rnacentral:rRNA from 1 species